rnacentral:misc_RNA from 1 species
GAUGAAGAACGUAGCGAAAUGCGAUAAGUAAUGUGAAUUGCAGAAUUCAGUGAAUCAUCGAAUCUUUGAACGCACAUUGCGCCCGCCAGUAUUCUGGCGGGCAUGCCUGUUCGAGCGUCAUUACAACCCUCAGGCCCCCGGGCCUGGCGUUGGGGAUCGGCGGAGCCCCCCGUGGGCACACGCCGUCCCCCAAAUGCAGUGGCGGUCCCGCCGCAGCUUCCAUCGCGUAGUAGCUAACACCUCGCGACUGGAGAGCGGCGCGGCCACGCCGUAAAACACCCAACUCUUCUGAAGUUGACCUCGAAUCAGGUAGGAAUACCCGCUGAACUUAAGCAUAUCAAUAAGCGGAUGA